GCGGCGGGAGGGGCUCGGCGGUGGCGCAGUCGGCGCUGCAGUGUGUGGCCGCGCCCUCUCCGCGCUCGGUUCCCUCGCAUCCUCCGCCGCGGGCUCGGACCUGCUCAGGUCUGCUCACCUCCCUCUGGCUCCAGGACCUCUCUCACCUCCAUCUUCCCAGCUCUGCCCAUAAUCCCUCUUCUAGACUGCAAGGACCACUCACUGUUCAGGAAUUUCCAGAAUCUAGUUUGACAUAAGAAAGAUACCUUCAGUUUGAGAAGAGCCCUUAUCGGAGCAACAUGAAUUCAGCUAAGAUUGAAGCCAGAACAAACAUCAAGUUCAUGAUGAAGCUUGGAUGGAAGAAUGGCGAAAUCAUUGAGGCUUUGCGGAAAGUUUACGGGGACAGUGCUCCCAAGAAGUCUGCAGUGUACAAAUGGAUAACGCGUUUCAAGGAGGGUCGGGAGGAUGUUGAGGAUGAAGCUCGCAGUGGCAGGCCAUCCACAUCGAUCUGUGAGGAAAAGAUUAACCUUGUCCGUGCCCUGAUCGAAGAGGAUCGGCCGCUAACAGCAAAAGCAAUCGCCAACACUAUAGACAUCUCAAUUGGCUCAGCUUAUAAAAUUCUAACCGAGAAGUUAAAGUUGAGCAAGCUCUCUGCUCGGUGGGUCCCUCGAUUGUUGGGCCCAGAUCAGCUGCACACAAGAGCAGAGCUGGCCAAGGAGAUUUUAAAUGAGUGGGAUCAAGAUCCGGAAGCGUUUCUUAGAAGAAUCGUGACAGGAGAUGAAACGGCUCUACCGGUACUAUCCUGAAGACAAAACACAAUCAAGGCAGCGGCUACAAGGAAUCAAAGUUAAAGUGUACCAGUCAAGAACCAAGUCACAAUGGCUUUUCUUUUUCUUUCUUUUAAUACUCAAGGCAUUUUACUUGUUGAUUUUGUGGAGGUCAAAUAGCGAUAUUUGUGAAUUGUGAGAGUAUUUUGAAGUUAUUGCCCAAAGCUUUAGUGGAGGAACAGCUGGGAGAGCCACAUCAAGAGCCUGUUGCUCCACACCAGUGCCCCUGCUUCUCCUGCUUAUCAAACAAGUGCAGUUUUGCUCGUCCUUUUUUUUUGUUUCCUAAUCUUAAGUAUUAAAAAGCCCAAUUUUUUUUUUUCCAGUUGAAAGUGUAGAGAAGUGUAUUCAUAUAGCUGCAUUCCUAGUACGCUCAGCUCUUUACGGUUUGUUUAGAUGAUUGCUGUUACCCCUUGCAUCAGUAUCUUAGUGUUGAUGGAGCUUAUGUUAAAAAAAUAAAACUUCUAUAUUUUA